ACGUUUGCUAAGAAAGGUAUAUAGGUGGAAUCAUUUUAGUAGCAAAAAGAGAGCUGAUGGUUGGUGUGAAUCAGCACGAGAUGAUUUUAAAUUACAGACCUGGAGCAUUUUUCUUGUGAGUAGCAAGAAACGGUUACGCCGUUAUCGUCUUGAGUGGAGGCUUAUUUUGUCAGCUUCAAUUAGGGUGGUACCGCGAUAACCUCGUCCCUGUU
rnacentral:ncRNA from 1 species